GACGUAGGAGGCAAGCGUUGUCCGGAAUUACUGGGCGUAAAGCGCGUGUAGGUGGUGGGACAAGUCUGCUGUGAAAGCGCCUGGCUUAACCGGGCGAGGUCGGCGGAAACUGUCCGACUCGAGGACGGUAGAGGGGGGUGGAAUUCCCGGUGUAGUGGUGAAAUGCGUAGAGAUCGGGAGGAACACCUGUGGCGAAGGCGGCCCCCUGGGCCGGCCCUGACACUGAGACGCGAAGGCGUGGGGAGCGAACGGG
rnacentral:rRNA from 1 species